rnacentral:rRNA from 1 species
CGGGGGCACGGGGGGCCUACGGGAGGCAGCAGUAGGGAAUAUUGGUAAUGUGCGAAAGCGCGAACCAGCAACGCCGCGUGCACGAUGAAGGCCUUCGGGUUGUAAAGCUCUUUUGCCCGGGAAGAUAAUGACGGUACCGGGAGAAUAAGCACCGGCUAACUU